rnacentral:rRNA from 1 species
UACGGAGGAUCCAGGCGUUAUCCGGAUUUAUUAGGUUUAAAGGGUGCGUAGGCGGAAGAUUAAGUCAGUGGUGAAAUCCUGCAGCUCAACUGUAGAACUGCCAUUGAUACUGAUUUUCUUGAGUAUAGUUGAGGUGGGCGGAAUGUGUCAUGUAGCGGUGAAAUGCUUAGAUAUGACACAGAACACCGAUUGCGUAGGCAGCUCACUAAACUAUCACUGACGCUGAGGCACGAAAGCGUGGGGAGCGAACAGG